ensembl:lncRNA
GAGAGAGAGAGAGAGAGAGAGAGAGAGAGAGAGAGAGAGAGAGAGAGAGAUUGAGGUUGGGGUGAGUAAGAGACAGAGAGAGGUAGAGAGAUUUCCUUCCUUGGUGCGGUCCUAUCUGUUCCAUCUAGUAUCUGGUGCACACCAUCAGUAUACACUAUGAACGUGUGCCAUCAGAAAUGGGCAGUGUGGCCGCUGUGGUGGCUCUCGCUGUCGAAGCUCAUAGGCGAGGUUUAAAUCAGUUGUGGUUGUUUUUUCGUACAAAAACUCAUCCGACUAGCAGAGAUACAUUAUGGUGGGUUGCAGAACAACAGAUUGUGUGUCUGCAUACCAGGGACUGUGGUGGGAAGUGGCUGAACUACAGCCCAUUAAAAACUCAACAGUCGCUGAUGUUCCUCUUUAGUAUUUACAAUCCAGAGACAGGUCCUUAUGCAUGUAGGGGUUACACUGUGAAUACAGAUACAGGUCAUGUAGGGGGUUAGACAGUGAAUACAGAGACAGGUCAUUAAGGAGCAUGUAGGGGUUAGACAGUGAAUACAGAGACAGGACAUUAAGGAGCAGGUAGGGGUUAGACAGUGAAUACAGAGACAGGUCAUUGAGGAGCAGGUAGGGGUUAGACAGUGAACACAGAGGCAGGGCAUUUGGUUGGGGUCAUCUCGUUCUAGGAUGCCUUGGGGAUCGAACCCCAAUGCCUCCAUUUCAGUUGGUAUUCGAACGCCCCAUUAGGCUGGUGUCAGACUGCCUGGAUAUUAAGUGAGAAUUCAGCAACAAGUUCAGCCUACACACACGCAGACGCACGCACGCACGCACGGCGCACGCAGG